UGGGACGUGGCGUAUGGUGCAGGGCUGCAGUCAAUGAAUUGAUCCGAAGUAUUGAACAGCAGCAGGCCGGGGUUCGACUCCCCGCGUCCCAC